CUUUGUGUGACAAGCUAAAAAACUGGACUGUACCAAAUCAAUCCUUGAGGUGCAACAAAUGACCCAUGUGCAACCAUCAACUGGUUAUAAAAGGAUCAGUCAGGAAAUUCAUAAACAGAGAUACUUAAUAAUGAAAAGGUUCUAGUAAGUAUGGCAAAGAGGGAAGUUAUUGCAAUAUCACACGAUUCAAAUGACUACGUUAUUUUGCCACUAUGUCAACCUUUGACACUUAUUUGGACAUAUAAAAUUAUAAGGUAUUAAUACAAAAAUGGCUGCUCAAUCAUAUUAUAAAUUAAAUUGUUCCAUAUGUCAUCCUCAGAAUUCCCGGUGAUACAGAGCAAAAACCAUAACUUCAAUCCUGCACACCAAAGUUGACCCAAGAAACAUUUCCUUAAGACACCAAAACUCACAAAUCCACCAACUACUUCAACAUCCCAACCUUUCUAGACUAUUCUAGUAAAUAAAAGACAUAAAAAGAGAAACUAUCUUACACAGCCAUCUCAACAAUCCCAUCACAAAUCUUGAACCCCAUGAACCCGCCAAAUCAAAAUAAUCCACCAAAAAAUCAGCACAAAACAACAAAAUUAAAUUAAAAAAAAAGGGGAAAUAACACGAUAUCUCACCACAUGCU
rnacentral:misc_RNA from 1 species